UACGGAGGAUGCAAGCGUUAUCCGGAAUUAUUGGGCGUAAAGAGCUCGUAGGCGGUUUGUCGCGUCUGCCGUGAAAGUCCGGGCUCAACUCCGGAUCUGCGGUGGUACGGCAGACUAGAGUGAUGUAGGGAGACUGGAAUUCCGGUGUAGCGGUGAAAUGCGCAGAUAUCGGAAGAACACCCGUGGCGAAGGCGGUUCUCUGGGCCUUACCUGACGCUGAGGCGCGAAGCUAGGGAGCGAACAGG
rnacentral:rRNA from 1 species